rnacentral:tRNA from 1 species
GGGCAGGUAAUUCAGCCCGGUAGAAUGCUCGGCUGGCAGCCGAGAUGCCGGGGGUUCAAAUCCCCCCCUGUCCA